rnacentral:rRNA from 1 species
GACGAACGCUGGCGGCGUGCCUAACACAUGCAAGUCGAACGGGGUUAAGAGCUUCGGCUUUUAACUUAGUGGCGAACGGGUGAGUAACGCGUGAGGAACCUGCCUUUCAGUGGGGGACAACAGUUGGAAACGACUGCUAAUACCGCAUAACGCAGCUAGACCGCAUGGUCUUACUGCCAAAGCUUUCUGUGCUGAAAGAUGGCCUCGCGUCUGAUUAGCUAGUUGGUGGGGUAACGGCUCACCAAGGCGACGAUCAGUACCCGGUCUGAGAGGAUGAACGGCCACAUUGGGACUGAGAUACGGCCCAGACUCCUACGGGAGGCAGCAGUGGGGAAUAUUGGGCAAUGGGGGAAACCCUGACCCAGCAACGCCGCGUGAAGGAAGAAGGCCCUCGGGUUGUAAACUUCUUUUACCAGGGACGAAGAACGUGACGGUACCUGGAGAAAAAGCAACGGCUUACUACGUGCCAGCCGCCGCGGUAAAAC